GGAUCUGCUCAGGCUCGGUUCUGGAUCACUGUGGGAAAGUUCUGAUCUCUACAGGAGACAGAAGCACUGGGAGAUCUUCCAGAUCAUCACCAUGAGUCAGUCAUGCAGUUCUGUAUAUCUGCUGUUGUUGUCCUACUCAUACUGGCCACUAUUUUCACUAAUGCAUCUCUAUCAGCUUUUCCUACAGUGAAGGUGUUGUAUAAUGGUGCUGCUGUUCUGCCCUGUACUUAUAAAUGUUCUGGAGUGAUCAGC